rnacentral:rRNA from 1 species
UACGUAGGGUGCAAGCGUUGUCCGGAAUUAUUGGGCGUAAAGAGCUCGUAGGCGGUUUGUCGCGUCGAAUGUGAAAACCCGGGGCUCAACCCCGGGCCUGCAUUCGAUACGGGCAGACUAGAGUUCGGUAGGGGAGUCUGGAAUUCCUGGUGUAGCGGUGAAAUGCGCAGAUAUCAGGAGGAACACCGGUGGCGAAGGCGGCUUUCUGGACAGAAACUGACGCUGAGGCGCGAAAGCUAGGGGAGCAAACAGG